ACACCGGUUCUUUUAAGAACCACCAAUUUUACAAAUCAACCUUAA
rnacentral:ncRNA from 1 species